rnacentral:rRNA from 1 species
CAGUUCGGAUUGUAGUCUGCAACUCGACUACAUGAAGCUGGAAUCGCUAGUAAUCGUAGAUCAGCAUGCUACGGUGAAUACGUUCCCGGGUCUUGUACACACCGCCCGUCACACCACGAGAGUUUGUAACACCCGAAGCCGGGGGAGUAACCUUUUAGGAGCUAGCCGUCGAAGGUGGGACAAAUGAUUGGGGUGAAGUCGUAACAA